UGUUGCAGUGAAAAUGUGCUAACUAAAUAUUUGACAGUUAAUGAAGGAAUUAAUUCAGUAUACGGAGGAUUUACAGCAAAUGCACUAUUUCUCUCCAAAUCAGAGUAAUUUUACAAUACAGGAUCAAAAAUUAACACGUCACUAGAAAGAUCCAAAGGAAUUUUUUUUUAAAUAUUUCACUAAGUACUGAAGAUUUUGUAAUGGCAAAAAAAAAAAAAAAAAAUAGCUUCCAAUAAAUUACAGAUUUGUGAAAUCUAGUUAUUAUUGUUUGUGUUUUCGUUUAAAGUUGAAAGUAGUUGCUGCUGGGGAAUUAAGUGAAUAAUAAUUUAAGUAAAAUGUUGGUUGGAUUAGGGCAUGAGCCGGGUCUCCGGUGAACACUCACUGCCAUGGGCUCGGAGAACGUGUUCGUGUACGGCACGCUGAAGCGCGGCGAGCCCAACCACCAUUGGAUCACGAACCCGUGCAACGGAUCCGCGCGGCUGGUUGGCGUCGCCCAGACGGUGGAGCUGUAUCCGCUGGUCAUCGCCAGCAAGUACAACAUUCCCUUCCUGCUGCACCACCCAGGACAUGGCCACGUGGGUACCAGCGUGGAACAAGGGGUCGAGUGUCUUGCCGUUACGGAGGCGGUGUCGGGGGAAGUGUACAGCGUGGACGGGGCCAUGCUGUGCAGCCUGGACGCGCUGGAAGACCACCCGCGCCUGUACGCGCGCUCGCGGGUCGCCGCGCGGCUGCUGCCCGCGGGGGAGACUGUCGCGUGCUGGGCCUACCUCCUGACCGCCUUCAGGCCGGAGCUGCUCGCGCUGCCGUGCCACACGGACUACCGCUCCAGCGGGCCACACGGCCUCGAGUACUGCGAGGGGCGCUCGCGAGACCCCGGCCACGAGCUCCUGUGGGACGUGAAGCCGCGAGGCGGGGCGUGAUUGGCACCCAGCCGGCUAGCCCGGAUUCGCCCAUGCAACUUGAAAUACAUGAACAACAACGAAUCGUCGUUGGACGACGUCUGAAGUUCUCACAGUUGCACGUAGCUUCUUGAACGAAAGAGAACUUAAAUGAAAAACCUAGACAUCUGCUGUGCUAAAGUGUCGAUGAGAUCUGGACUAUAAAGGGUUGAUUACUGCUGUGACUACAAACUCUCACGACAACCAAUCAUGCAUGCCAAAUAUGUACAAAAUUUUCCACCGUUGUAAUUUGAAUUUUGGUCAUGUUUGCAUACUCUCCUGUUAUGAUUUUUUAAUGUAAUUUCUGCAAUUUAAGAAAUUUAUCACCAACACUAUAUUUCAGAUAAAAUG